ensembl:lncRNA
UUUGUUCUGCCUUCUCUAGGAAAUGCUAAAGUCAGUAGCUUUGGUAGUUAUAGAUGAGGAAAUACUGCCACCUAGUGGACAGCCCACACAAGGGAAGACGCGCAAGCUUAGUUUUCACUUAUUGAGUUGUACCGAGAGAACACACUGGUUAAGCUGAAGUCAUCCUCGAAGAGCAUUCUUCCACGCGUGAGCUUUGGAUAAUAUUUGUCUGUAAGUGCAUAUUAUAGUGUGCUUUUGUUGUUGUAUAAAUGCCGUUUAGACAUUUUUGGAAAUAGGUUGAAUGUACGUUUUACAAAUGUCGAGAAUUCAGAGCUAGAAAAUAGCUAAAUGAUGCUAGCUCUCGCAUUCAUGCUAUCUUUGUGCCACAUUGUUUUACGUGGUAUUUAUUUAUGUAUGUCUUUGUUUUAUUCUGUUCCAGUUUUACAAAACGUCAAUCUUGUAAUGAAUAAGUGCAGAAGGGGAACCACAGUAAACACAAAAAAUCAAGACUUGUAGUUCAUCUUUAUUCAUUCAGGAAAAGUGUUAGCUAGCUGUCUAAGCCUGCUAAAAGGAAACGCAGGUGGAGGACAGCAUAGUAAAAAGACAAGAGCACGGCGAGCUCAAGCAUAAGAAGAAAGCUUUAGAAGACCACGAUGCUACAUGCAGACGGAGUAGAGGGUGAUGCCACUGAACAAGCACAAGGUGCGGCUGCUCAGGAGCUAUUAGAGCACAGCCAUGAGGCAACCCAGAGGCAGGAGCCAUUACGAACACACGACUCCCAGUCACAGAUUUCCAAGAGGACCAACGGAUCAUCAACAACAUCGUCAGCAGCUAUCAGAGCACGUGCCAAGUCAAAAGCUGCACUGGCCCAGCUGACUUUUGCUGAGAGAGAAGCAGACAUGAUAAGAAAGAAGGCUGAACUCGAAGCCAGUCUCCACGUUCUCACCACCCAAAAGAUGGCUGCUGCCGCCGAGGCAGAAGCUGCAGCCUACGAGGAAGAGGAGAUUGAAAGCGGGGAGAAGCACCAAGAGCCAUACGUCCCGGGAAAGCCUCUCAGCGCCUUUGAACGUGCAGGCAACUACGUGCAGCAGCACUCAGCGAUGUUCGGCAGAGAACCACCACCGACAGAUGCGCCGCUGCACUCCUACAAACCAGCUGCUCAUCAUAGCCCAAUACCACUCAUAACCAACAUAAAAAAGGAAGAACCAUCUCCAUGUAAGUCUCCUCCGGUGCUGCCCCGACCAUCUCCCAGCCUGCACAAGGGAUUCCUCCCCAUGCCUCAGCUGUCUCCGAGUCCACACAGGGGGCCCUCCUCCGAGCCACAGCCAGCACAAGACCUCGCCAAGUACCUCAUGCGGCGAGAAAUGGUGAGCUCAGGCCUGCUGCAGUUCGAUGAUCGCCCCGAACAUUUCUGGUCAUGGAAAGCCUCCUUCCUCAGCGCCACCCAGGACCUGAAUCUGACAUCCAGGGAAGAACUGGAUCUGCUGGUCAAGUGGCUUGGCGCAGACUCAGCAGAGCAGGCGCGGAGAAUCCGCUCAGUGCACGUCCUCAAUCCCGCGGCAGGCCUCCACAUGGUGUGGCAACAUGUGGAGGAAUGCUACGGGACACCAGAAGCCGUAGAAGAUGCACUGCUAAAAAAGAUUGAAGAUUUCCCAAAGCUAACCAACAAAGACAAUGCUCAGAGCUCGGUGAUAUCCUCCUGGAACUGGAGUGCGCCAAGGAAGAAGGAUACCUACCAGGCCUUGCCUUUUUGGAUACAGCUCGCGGGGUGAACCCAAUCGCAGAGAAGCUACCUUACAGCCUGCAAGAGAGAUGGAUAUCGACCGGAUUCAGGUUCAAAGAGGAAAACGGUGUAGCCUUCCCUCCAUUCUCCAUAUUCUCACAGUUUGUCCGGCGACAGGCUAAAGUGCGGAAUGACCCAAGCUUCGCCUUCGCCACCUCCAGCAGCCACACGCCACCAAAAGCAGAGAGUGCCACGAAAUACGGCUACAAAGCCCCAGUAAGCGUGCACAAGACAGAGGUCUCACCCGAAUUCAGCUACGGUGACAGCAGUUCUGCGGAGAUGAAGACAGGCGACCCAGACCGUGAGUGUCCUAUACACAGGAAGCCACACCCACUCAAAAGGUGUAGGACAUUCAGAUCCAAGCAUAUAGAAGAACGUAAGGCUUACCUCAAAGACAACCGCAUCUGUUUCAAGUGCUGUGGGUCAACUCAGCACAUGGCGAA